UCAUAGAACGAUAGUUCUCUUCAAAGCG
rnacentral:sRNA from 1 species